rnacentral:rRNA from 1 species
UGGGGAAUUUUGGACAAUGGGCGAAAGCCUGAUCCAGCAAUGCCGCGUGUGUGAAGAAGGCCUUCGGGUUGUAAAGCACUUUUGUCCGGAAAGAAAUCCUUGGCUCUAAUACAGUCGGGGGAUGACGGUACCGGAAGAAUAAGCACCGGCUAACUACGUGCCAGCAGCCGCGGUAAUACGUAGGGUGCAAGCGUUAAUCGGAAUUACUGGGCGUAAAGCGUGCGCAGGCGGUUUGCUAAGACCGAUGUGAAAUCCCCGGGCUCAACCUGGGAACUGCAUUGGUGACUGGCAGGCUAGAGUAUGGCAGAGGGGGGUAGAAUUCCACGUGUAGCAGUGAAAUGCGUAGAGAUGUGGAGGAAUACCGAUGGCGAAGGCAGCCCCUGGCCAAGUACUGACGCUCAUGCACGAAAGCGUGGGGAGCAAACAGGAUUAGAUACCCUGGUAGUCCACGCCCUAAACGAUGUCAACUAGUUGUUGGGGAUUCAUUUCCUUAGUAACGUAGCUAACGCGUGAAGUUGACCGCCUGGGGAGUACGGUCGCAAGAUUAAAACUUAAAUAAUUGACGGGGUCAUAGCUGUUUCCU